CAGAGACACCAUUGUUUUCUCUCGGCGCGCGACGGACUAGCAUAAUGCCGAAAAGAGUUAGUAACGUUUGCCUGUUGUUGGCUGUACAGACCAACAUAAAGCUGCACAUGGACUCCCAGCCUCAGAGGACACACGAGCAGGUGGAUUGACUUCAUUUUUGAUGGAAAUGUUCCAGCCACAGUCGGUGAAAAGCUGCGAGUGUUUGAACAACUUUGUGUCAGACUGUUCUUCAAGCUGGGGCCAGUGCAACACCAGACUGGAAGAAAAAACUUUUUUUUGCAAGAUGGAGCAAUUCCAAAUGUCUGUGGCGAAGCUACAGAGGAGACAUAGUACAUCACACCAAUCGGCAAAUGCAUGUUCCACGGUUUAAAGAACCAUGUAUAUUGGAGUGCAACCUCUUCAACCUCAGGGCCUGAGAAGGUGGCCAAGUGGACUUCACUGUUUAACAACAUUCAAAACAUCCCUGGGCAUGGAGAUCCCCUCUUCCCCAAAGACAUAGAAGAAUGAAGCCACCACAAAGCCUGUUAAAACAGAACCCACACUCAAUUAUGUGGGUGACUUGAUGAGGAUGGUAUUUGAGGACCCAGCACCAUUUGUGGAGUAGAUGAAAAAAUCCCCACACCCAGGGACCUGUCAUCCCAAUAUGACAGGCCGACAAAGGACGAAAUGGUUGCUUGCCACAUGUCAGUUAUUGCAGUUGGAAAUUGCCUCUACUGCUUUAUUUUUGUAUAUGUUUAUAUUUCUGGUUUCCUUACAUUUGCAAAAAAUAAAGAUAUUUUGAAUAAAAUAUUUUUUC